rnacentral:rRNA from 1 species
AGUGAACGCUGGCGGUAGGCCUAACACAUGCAAGUCGAACGGCAGCACAGUAAGAGCUUGCUCUUACGGGUGGCGAGUGGCGGACGGGUGAGGAAUACAUCGGAAUCUACUUUUUCGUGGGGGAUAACGUAGGGAAACUUACGCUAAUACCGCAUACGACCUACGGGUGAAAGCAGUGGAUCUUCGGACCUUGCGCGAUUGAAUGAGCCGAUGUCGGAUUAGCUAGUUGGCGGGGUAAAGGCCCACCAAGGCGACGAUCCGUAGCUGGUCUGAGAGGAUGAUCAGCCACACUGGAACUGAGACACGGUCCAGACUCAUACGGGAGGCAGCAGUGGGGAAUAUUGGACAAAGGGCGCAAGCCUGAUCCAGCCAUACCGCGUGGGUGAAGAAGGCCUUCGGGUUGUAAAGCCCCUUUGUUGGGAAAGAAAAGCAGCAGGUUAAUACCCCGCUGUUCUGACGGUACCCAAAGAAUAAGCACCGGCUAACUUCGUG